AUGCUCAUCUCUUGAGAGGUUUGGUCCGAGAGAAACGCUAGAGUCUUCCACAACGUGGCGGUUCCAUCGGCGGUCAUCGUCAACAAGAUCAAGCAUGAGGUGUCGCUUUGGGCUUUGACGGGUGUCAAGCACUUGAGUAUUGUAAUGACGCGAGAGUAA
rnacentral:rRNA from 1 species